rnacentral:rRNA from 1 species
AGUGAACGCUGGCGGUAGGCCUAACACAUGCAAGUCGAACGGCAGCACAGGAGAGCUUGCUCUCUGGGUGGCGAGUGGCGGACGGGUGAGGAAUACAUCGGAAUCUACUCUGUCGUGGGGGAUAACGUAGGGAAACUUACGCUAAUACCGCAUACGACCUACGGGUGAAAGCAGGGGAUCUUCGGACCUUGCGCGAUUGAAUGAGCCGAUGUCGGAUUAGCUAGUUGGCGGGGUAAAGGCCCACCAAGGCGACGAUCCGUAGCUGGUCUGAGAGGAGGAUCAGCCACACUGGAACUGAGCAACGGUCCAGACUCCUACGGGAGGCAGCAGUGGGGAAUAUUGGACAAUGGGCGCAAGCCUGAUCCAGCCAUACCGCGUGGGUGAAGAAGGCCUUCGGGUUGUAAAGCCCUUUUGUUGGGAAAGAAAUCCAGCUGGCUAAUACCCGGUUGGGAUGACGGUACCCAAAGAAUAAGCACCGGCUAACUUCGUGCCAGCCGCCGCGGUAA